UUCUCCGUAGGUGAACCUGCGGAAGGAUCAUUAAAAAAUGAGACCUUCGAUUUUGAAAGGUCUAUUGAUAAUCCUACCCUUUGUGAAUUUGUUUGAUAUUUUUAAUUAUGUGUCUUUCCCUGGUUUUGAUGGAGCUUGUUUAAAGCAAAUCAAUCCAGGAUAAUGCAAAGACUUUUUUUUAAAAUUAAACUUUUUGUAUUCAUUUGUCUAAAAUUAUUUUUAUAAUAUAAAAACAACUUUUGACAAUGGAUCUCUUGGUUCUCGCAACGAUGAAGAACGCAGCAAAAUGCGAUAAGUAGUGUGAAUUGCAGAAUACGUGAAUCAUCGAAUCUUCGAACGCAUAUUGCACUUUUUUGGUUUACCAAAAAAGUAUGUCUGUUUGAGUAUCAGUAAAAUAUUCUCAUAAAAACUAUUGUUUUUUAUGGUUAUGAGUGUUUUACAACGAUAACAAGUUGUUUCACUUUAAAUUCUUCGACUUGUAAAAAAAUCAUUAAAAACUGAUUUUUUUUAAAAAUUGGAUAAAAUUUUCCCGUAAAAAGGAAUAACCUAAACAAUUUUAAAAAUUAAUUGGUUUGAUUUCUUUUAAGAAUCUUAAAGGAAAAAAGUAAAAAUUAACUUGAUCUCAAAUCAGAUAAGAGUACCCGCUGAACUUAAGCAUAUCAAUAAGCGGAGGAAAAGAAACUAACUAGGAUUCCCUUCAGUAACGGCGAGUGAAGCGGGAAGAGCUCAAAUUUGAAAUCUUCAAGGUUCUACCUUGACGAAUUGUAGUUUAAAGAAGUGUUUUCUGUUGGAGUUUUGGUAAAAGUUCUUUGGAAUAGGACAUCAUAGAGGGUGAGAAUCCCGUAUUUGACCAUUAUUUCCAACUUUGUGAUACACUUUCAAAGAGUCGGAUUGUUUGGGAAUGCAGUCCAAAAUGGGUGGUAAAUUUCAUCUAAAGCUAAAUAUGGCGAGAGACCGAUAGCGAACAAGUACCGUGAGGGAAAGAUGAAAAGAACUUUGAAAAGAGAGUUAAACAGUACGUGAAAUUGUCAAAAGGGAAGCGUUUGACACCAGUGUUGUUUUCUCGAAAAUCAAUUAAAAAUGGCGGGAUUUUGUGUUGUAUUGACUUUAUCAGCUUUCUGCACUUUUUUCUUAUCUUUUUUAAUGCACUUUUCGUUUAACAAGUCAACAUCAAUUUCUUUUGUUGUAAAAGGAGUCAUUGGAAGGUGGCUUUCUUUUCGGAGAAAGUGUUUAUAGCCUUUGGCUUCUGCAAUCGGAGAGAUUGAGGUCUGCAGCGUAGAUCCUUCGGGGUUAGGUACAUUUGUGCUAAGCUAUAGCCUUUCAUAGACAACUUGUUGACUAUAAUCAGUCAUGUACUUACUCGCUUAUGCUAUUUUACCUACGCUUAGGAUGUUGA
rnacentral:misc_RNA from 1 species